rnacentral:pre_miRNA from 1 species
AUGCAGGGCAAUCUGUCUUUAAGGACGGACUAAUUACUCUAAAAAAUGUGAAUCCCAGAUAGUUUUCCCUUCACGUCCAGCAUCUUAU